rnacentral:rRNA from 1 species
AACGCGAAGAACCUUACCUGGGUUUGACAUGGAUCGGGAGUGCUCAGAGAUGGGUGUGCCUCUUUUGGGGUCGGUUCACAGGUGGUGCAUGGCUGUCGUCAGCUCGUGUCGUGAGAUGUUGGGUUAAGUCCCGCAACGAGCGCAACCCUUGUUCACUGUUGCCAGCACGUUAUGGUGGGGACUCAGUGGAGACCGCCGGGGUCAACUCGGAGGAAGGUGGGGAUGACGUCAAGUCAUCAUGCCCCUUAUGUCCAGGGCUUCACGCAUGCUACAAUGGCUGGUACAGAGAGUGGCGAGCCUGUGAGGGUGAGCGAAUCUCGGAAAGCCGGUCUCAGUUCGGAUUGGGGUCUGCAACUCGACCUCAUGAAGUCGGAGUCGCUAGUAAUCGCAGAUCAGCAACGCUGCGGUGAAUACGUUCCCGGGUCUUGUACACACGCA